rnacentral:rRNA from 1 species
AUUGAACGCUGGCGGCAUGCUUUACACAUGCAAGUCGAACGGUAACAGGUCUUCGGAUGCUGACGAGUGGCGAACGGGUGCGUAAUACAUCGGAACGUGCCUAGUAGUGGGGGAUAACUACUCGAAAGAGUAGCUAAUACCGCAUGAGAUCUACGGAUGAAAGCAGGGGACCUUCGGGCCUUGUGCUACUAGAGCGGCUGAUGGCAGAUUAGGUAGUUGGUGGGGUAAAGGCUUACCAAGCCUGCGAUUUGUAGCUGGUCUGAGAGGACGACCAGCCAAACUGGGACGAAGACACGGCACAGACUCCUACGGGAGGAAGCAGUGGGGAAUUUUGGACAAUGGGCGAAAGCCUGACUCAGCAAUGCCGCGUGCAGGAUGAAGGCCCUCGGGUUGUAAACUGCUUUCGUACGGAACGAAAAGCCUGGGGCUAAUAUCCCCGGGUCAUGACGGUACCGUAAGAAUAAGCACCGGCUAACUACGUGCCAGCCGCCGCUGUAAAAC